rnacentral:rRNA from 1 species
AUUGAACGCUGGCGGCAUGCUUUACACAUGCAAGUCGAACGGUAACAGGCCUUCGGGUGCUGACGAGUGGCGAACGGGUGAGUAAUGCAUCGGAACGUGCCCAAUCGUGGGGGAUAACGUAGCGAAAGUUACGCUAAUAUCGCAUAAGCCCUGAGGGGGAAAGCAGGGGAUCGCAAGACCUUGCGCGAAUGGAGCGGCCGAUGUCAGAUUAGCUAGUUGGUGAGGUAAAGGCUUACCAAGGCGACGAUCUGUAGCGGGUCUGAGAGGAUGAUCCGCCACACUGGAACUGAGACACGGUCCAGACUCCUACGGGAGGCAGCAGUGGGGAAUUUUGGACAAUGGGCGCAAGCCUGAUCCAGCCAUGCCGCGUGAGUGAAGAAGGCCU